rnacentral:rRNA from 1 species
GAUGAACGCUAGCUACAGGCUUAACACAUGCAAGUCGAGGGGAAACGAUAUUGGAAGCUUGCUUCCGAUAGGCGUCGACCGGCGCACGGGUGAGUAACGCGUAUCCAACCUGCCCACCACUUGGGGAUAACCUUGCGAAAGUAAGACUAAUACCCAAUGACGUCCAUAGAAGACAUCUGAAAUGGAUUAAAGAUUUAUCGGUGAUGGAUGGGGAUGCGUCUGAUUAGCUUGUUGGCGGGGUAACGGCCCACCAAGGCGACGAUCAGUAGGGGUUCUGAGAGGAAGGUACCCCACAUUGGAACUGAGACGCGGUCCAAACUCCUACGGGAGGCAGCAGUGAGGAAUAUUGGUCAAUGGGCGAGAGCCUGAACCAGCCAAGUAGCGUGCAGGAGGACGGCCCUAUGGGUUGUAAACUGCUUUUAUAAGGGAAUAAAGUGAGUCUCGUGAGGCUUUUUGCAUGUACCUUAUGAAUAAGGACCGGCUAAUUCCGUGCCAGCAGCCGCCGUAA